rnacentral:rRNA from 1 species
GACGAACGCUGGCGGCGUGCUUAACACAUGCAAGUCGAACGGACUACUUUGCUUCGGUAAGGUGGUUAGUGGCGAACGGGUGAGUAACGCGUAGACAACCUACCUCUUAGAUGGGGACAACAUCGCGAAAGCGGUGCUAAUACCGAAUGAAGUGACUUUCCUGCAUGGGAGAGAUACUAAAGGUGGCCUCUAUUUAUAAGCUACCACUGAGAGAUGGGUCUGCGUCUGAUUAGCUAGCUGGUGGGGUAAAGGCUCACCAAGGCGACGAUCAGUAGCUGGUCUGAGAGGACGACCAGCCACACUGGGACUGAGACACGGCCCAGACUCCUACGGGAGGCAGCAGUAGGGAAUCUUCCACAAUGGACGAAAGUCUGAUGGAGCAACGCCGCGUGAGUGAAGAAGGUUUUCGGAUCGUAAAACUCUGUUGUCAGAGAAGAACGUGUGCGAGAGUAACUGCUCGUGCAGUGACGGUAUCUGGCCAGAAAGCCACGGCUAACUACGUGCCAGCCGCCGCCGUAA